GCUACUACCGAUUGAAUGGUUUAGCGAGAUGCUCGGAUCGGGCCCAGCUCGUGCGAAAGCAUGUGCCGGGACUGAGAAGAAGUUCAAGCUUGAUCAUUUAGAGGAAGUAAAAGUCGUAACAAGGUUUCCGUAGGUGAACCUGCAGAAGGAUUCCGCGAUACGCCAAGAAGGUUAUUUAUAUUGGAAAAAUUAAUAAUUUUUAUUUAAUUUUUUAAUUAAUUAAAUAAUUUAAAAUAAUUAUUUUGAAUUAACAAAGAAAUUUAAUAAUUAUUAAUUUGAAUAUAUAUUUGAUAAUUAGGGUGAAGUCGUAACAUGGUAGUGGUAGGUGAACCUGCAGAAGGAUCA
rnacentral:misc_RNA from 1 species